rnacentral:lncRNA from 1 species
UCUUCUCCAAGGUACUGGUUCCAGCCCAUGUCACCUUCAGGAAAAUAACCACCAUUUGAAUGAAAACCUCUGCUCCACUCUUCAUGAUCAUUUUCCACCAUGGGAGGAACAGAAACAGGUAUCCAAACGCCAGUUUCUUCAGAAAGAGGUGAAUCAUAGAAAAAGUAUUUCCCUAGCUUUUUCUCACUGGUCUUUGUUCCUUUCUUCUCAUUGUUUCUAGCAUCAUUUUCUGCAGGGGUAGGAAUUUCAUGGGUCCCAAGCCCAAUGGUGGCUGCAGAAUUAUAGAAAUCUGUAGAACUUUCAAGUCCCC